CACUCCCCGGGCGUUCCCGUGCCCUAAGCGGUGGCUGUUCUCCCAGCGGCGACUGCGGCGUUUCCUCGGCGGACGGCGGCUGUCUUCCUCUCCAUCAGCGAACAGCGGAAGCAAUGGCGGUGUCUUCCUCCGGCGAGUUCUUGUCGCUGCAGCGUUUUCCUCGGUGAACGGCGGCUGCUGCGUCUUUGUCUCCAUCUGUGUAACGGCAGAGGCGGCGUCUCUGCUCCCCGUCAGUUGAGUAUGGAAUUGCAGCGGGCUGUUCAUGACUGACUACGAUGGAAUCGGGGCUCUGAGGACUCAGGGGCUUACUAGUGGAAAGUGGAUAGACGCAGACGAUGGCAUGACCAUUCAGGCAUCAAGUGCUAGGAAAAUCAGGUGUUUGUGAUGAUUUAGGUGUACACUAUGUCUUGCAAGUGGGAUUACCAAGCAGUAAGGAGUUAUUUGAUGCUAAAUUGGAGAAGAAAACUUGCAGGAUUAUUGCUUGAGUUUAGGAAAGAUUCCCAAAAGACAUUGCCACCAGUUGUCCAAAAGCCUGAUGGGAAGAAAAACUGGAUGGUUUGUGAUCCGGUUCCUAUAAACAACUUCUGCUGCUAAAUAGAUAUCUAGGUCUUUGUUUAUCAGUUAUAUCUCCUCUGACUACUCUAUGUUAUAUUUGAUAUUACUGAUUUUGAGGUAUCCAAUUUAGUUUAGUAUUUAAUUUUUAAGAAGAAUGGAGUGAGUUGCUCAAUAAAGCCCCAAUAAGUCACAUACGUUGUACCUGGUAUUGAAGACUUUGACCACGCAGAUAUCUCUGAAUUUGUUCAGAAAGCUCAGGUCUUAGUAAGUGUCAGAAAAUUAGAACUUGGAGACAUUUUUAGUUAUUGGUUUCCCACAGGAUUCUGGAGUGUUCUUGGAUGGAGCUUUCAGAAAAUAAAAGGACAGUGACAGCUGAGGAAUUAGCUGUGGUACUUAUUUUGCAGAAUUAACUUUCCAUGCUUGAACACUGCUCAUCUUUCAUUUUCUUCAGAUUAUAUAUGGCAGCAAGGAAUAUCUUGAAAGCUACUGUUCCCUUCUCUUGUUGUCUAGAGAUGACAUAUAUUUUAGUGUGGUUGAUAGCAAGGGAUAUUGUUCUCUAUAUGAACGACGACCAAGUAUUAAGGGUCAAUAUGAGGAUUCUUUAGGAAAGAUUCUUUUGGUCAAUUUUCAGGCUGCCCAACCACUUCCUCAAUGGUGGCGACAGCGUGGUGGUUGAAUCCAUCGCAACCCUAGUUUUCAUGGACGAGGAGGAGGUGGGUUUUCUCUCGUUGCAUCGGUCUUCGAUAACGAUGGCAUGCUUUUGCUUGCUUCCAUCCUUAUUGUCAUUGUUCCAUCAUAAGUUCUUGAUCUUUGUUCCAAAGAUGAUUCUGUACGGUGAUUCUUUGAGAAAGAUUCUUUUGGUGUAUUUUCAUGACCGUCCCUUCCUCGACGGUGGCGAAAACCUAGCUGUAGACUCCAUCGCCAGCUUAGCUUCCUUGGUAGAGGCUGAAAACAAAAGUGGCGAUCGACAAGGAGGGUUUUCUAUAGUUGCAUCGAUGGUGAUCGCAUGCUUUCGCUUGUUUCCUGUCCUAUGGUGGCCAUUCUAUCGCAGAUUCUUGAUCCUUGGUGCAGAGAAGUGUUGGUACAAGGAUUCUUUUGAAUAGAUUCUUUUGGCCACAUAUUUUCAUGGCGAGCUCUGCUGCCGCCUAGCUUGCAAUGAAGAUGGCAAUUGACGAGGAGGUUUUUUUUCUCUCGUUAGGCCAGUGAUGUUUUUUCUUGCUUCCAGCCCUAUCAUGGCUGUUUGAUCGCAGAUUCUUGAUUUCUUGGUCCGGAGGAGAAGAGUCAGUAGGUUGGUUCUUUUGGACAUCGAGUGUUCCUUUGCCUCGUGAUGGAUUUCUGCCCACUGGCAAGGAAACCUUCUGUCAAUGGCAUAAUUACAUUGAUAGGGGGACCUGAGGUGGAGUAGAUUAUUUGGUCAUAGUGUUGUUAUGAUCAUGCUGUUUGUGCUUCUUAUGAAUGAAGAAGAGAUAAUUGGAUUGGUUGCCGUUAAGUGGCUGGGAAAGUUUAUGAAGAAAGGAGGGCACCGGCCACAGCCAGUAAAUGAAUGUGAUAUUUAUUCAGGUAAGCAUUAUCUUGAUUGAAGCUUAAUUAGACUUUCGUAGUUCUAAUGCUUGAGUGAAUAUUCUUGUCCAAUUUAGUUUAGUCUCCUUUCAUUUUUUUUAUGGCAUGUUAUACUUAGGUUUGUAUCACAUGAUAUUAAUUUAGUAAUCUCUUUUUAAGUAAUAGAAGCUAUUAAUUUAGUACACAUAUGCACACAACACAUAAUACACAUAUACACACUACACACAUACAAUACACAUACACACAACACACACACUAUACAACACACACAAUACAUACACAACACAAACAUACAUAGCAUACACAACACACACACAAUACACAUACAUACACACACGAAAAUAACACAAACAAUACACAAACAACACAUAACACACACUAUGCAUACACACAACACACAAUAUACAACACACAUGAAAAUAACACAAACAACACACAAUACACAUAUACACACAACACAAUACAUAUACAAACAACACACUACACACACAAUACACACAAAAAUAAUACAAUAACAUAAACAACACAAACAUAAUACACAUACAAACAACACACACUACAAAUACACAUACACACACACAACACAGGCUAUACAAGCACUACAUACAAACACAAUACACAUACACAUACAACAUAACAUUACACACACACAACACAAUACACAUACACACAACACAGAUAAAUAACACACACACAAUAAACAACACAUGAAAAUAACACAAACAAUACACACAAUACACAUACAAAUAACACAUAACACACACACUACACAAACAAUAAACAUACACACAACACACACAAUAAACAACACACACAAAAAUAACACAAACAACACACACAAUACACAUAUAUAUAUACACAACACACAACACACACAACACACAAAAAUAAUAUAACAACAUAAACUAUACACACAAUACACACAACACAUACUAUACACACACUGCAUAGAAACAUAACAUACAUAACACAAACACAUAUUCACACAACUUGAAACAACACACACACAUAACAUACACAACACACACGCAAUACAUAUAUAUACAUAACACACACACAAUAAAUAACACACACGAAAAGAACACAAACAAUACACAUAACACUACACACACAACACAUAACACACAAUAUAAAUACAUAAUACACAUACACACAACACACACAAACACAUUAAACAACACGUACGAAAAUAACACAAAUAUAACACGCACAAUACACACACACACAACACAUAACAUUACACUACACACACACAAUACACAUACACACCACGCACUACACACUACACAAACAACGAACCCAAAAAUAACAUAAACAACACAAACACAAUACACAUACAAAGAACACAUACUACAUACACACAUAACAUACACAACGCACACUACAUACAAAUAUAACAUACACAACACAAACACAUACACACACAUCUUUUAACAACACAUACACACAUUUACACACAACUCAUAACACACACUACAUAAACACAAAGCAAACACAACACAUACAACUUGUAACAACACACACAUAUACACACAAUUCAUAACAACACAUACUAUACACAAUACACACCUUCACAACACACUAUAUAAAACACUCACACAUAACACAUAUACAUAUAUAACAUACACAAUACGCACACAUACACAUACAACUCAUAACAACACACACACGCAUAGCAUACACAACACACACAUAUACACACAACUCAUAACAACACACACUACACAUAGCACACACAUUGUAACAACACACAUAUACAUAUAACAUAUAUGCAAUACACACACAACUCAUAACAAUACACACACGCAUAAUAUACACAACUCAUACACAUACACACAUGACUCAUAAUACAAACACACAUACACACACAACUCAUAACAUGCAUACAUACACACAACUCGUAAUAUACAUACAGACGACACAAACACAACACACACACAUACACACAACUCAUAACAACAAACACUACACACACAUAAUAUACACAAUACAUACACAUAAGCACACAACUCAUAAUAAUACACAUACACAAUAUACACGACACACGACACACGCACAUACACAAUAUACAUGCACAUAUAUACACACACAUAAACAACACACAUUACACACACACAUAUAACAUACAACACACACACACACAUAUAACACAUACACAAUACACACACACAUAACAUACACAAAAACCAACACACACAAAAACAACACACAACACACAAGGAUCCAUAUACAUUACACACUUACACACAACUCAUAAUAACACACUAUACACAAUGCAUACAUAUACACACAACUCAAAACAAUACACACUAUACACAUUACAUACACAAUAAAACAAAACACAGUAUAAAUAACACACAACACAAAUAAAGCACAACACUUAAAAGACACAACAUACACACACAACAUACAACACACACAUAUAACAUACACAACACACAUACACACACAACUCUUAAUAUACACAACACACACACAUAAUAUACACAACACAUGCCCACAUAUACACAUAACACACGCAUGUAUACACGUAACUCAUAAAACACAUACUACACACAAUACGCACAUAACAAACACAACACACAUAUACACACAUGACUCAUAACAACGUAUACUACACACGCAUAACAUAUACAGUACACAAACAUAUCACAUAAAACAAACACGACAUAUAAAAAAUAAACAUACAACACACGUAACAGGUACACAUACGCACACACAUAAUGCAAAACAAACACAACUCACAUAUCGCACAACAAACAUACACAAUACACUCAUGUAGAACAAACACACAUAUACAUAAUAUACACACAACAUAGACAACACACACAAGCACAAUAUACAAAACAAACAAAAUGCACACACCACACAGCACACACACAAUAUAGAACACAAAACAAACACAACACAACAUACACAUACAUAACACAUAACACAAAACACACACACAUCACAGCACACAUAACACACACACACAAUGCAUAACACAAACACACAACAUAUAACAUAACACACAAACAAUACAAACACACACACAACACAUGAUACACAACAUACACAAACACACAUAUACACACAUAACAUACAAAAACACAUACACACACAUAAAUACAAAACACACUCCACACACACAACACAUAAAUACACACAUACACAUCACACACAAAAUACAACGCACACACAUACAACACACACCCACACACACAACACACACAUACGUAUACAUAACAUAUAACACACAUACACAACAAACACAGACAAAUGCACAUCCCUGUUAUUUUUCAUCAUUUGAGAGAUUCGUCGGAAAAAAUAUGGAUCAACAAAACUUAACCGAUCCCACACCAGAGUCAGAAUCAUUUGUGAGUUAAGAUCAUUUGCCAGUUGAGACAGAAUGACGGAUCAAAGUUUGACUACUCAUCAAUAACAGUAGAGUGUAGUUGGGAGCCAAGAGGCACAUUGCAUCUUCUUCAAAUGUUAUCAUUUUCGAUUUUUGCUUUUCUUAGAAUAAUGGUUUUUAGUUUUUCUACUUGAAACGAAGAUGUUUGAUGAUAAAGACCGUGCCGCUUCCAACAAUGAAUAACUUAAGCUUUGUUUUCACUGUCAAGAAAAGAUUAAAAACAUAGACAGUACUAGAAGAAAAAUCGAUCGUAACAUAAGCCAGUCAUCGAUCAGCUUCAUUUACUUUGUUUUUGCUAUAGGUAUGACUACCUUUGAUCAUUCUUGUGUAAUUUAGUUGAAUGUGUGUGUGUGAGAGAGAGAGAGAGAGAGAGAGAGAGAGAAAAUAUGAUCAAAUGUACUUGUUAUUUCUCUCCAGAUCAGAGAUCAUUCUUGUGUAAUUUAGUUGAAUGUGUGUGUGUAUGUGUGUGUGUGUGUGUGAGAGAGAGAGAGAGAGAGAGAGAGAGAAAAUAUGAUCAAAUGUACUCAGUAUUUCUCUCCAGAUCAGAUGUAUAUGUAGGGACUUUGGUAUUGCUUGUAUCCACAGAGAAGGGGAAGGAUAUUGAACACAUAAUCUCAACUUGUGAGUUCUCGCAGGAAGACAAGAGUGAUUUCUUCUUAGUAGAUGAAAUUGUACCAAACCAGAUUAGCUCAACAAAAGUGAGUGAUAUGGACAGAGUUGAUUACGACUGUGGUUUUUAUGGAGGUUAUUUCUCUUUGCAGCUUAAAGAAAAGUCACUGUAAGUGAAAGGUGCAAGUGUCUAAGGAAAUGGCAAAAAUAUUAUGAUGAUCUACAAUGAAAUAUUUUAUGUUGUCGAUGUUCUGUUGUUGUAAGGUUGGCUUCUCGGUCCUUUGUAUUUAAUAAAAGAGAUAGUGAAACCUAAAGAUGGAUAUACUUUCACGAAAGUGAACUUGUAAUCACAAAGUAGACAUCACUUUUGAAG